GACGUAGGAUGCAAGCGUUGUCCGGAUUUAUUGGGCGUAAAGAGUUCGUAGGUGGUUUGUUAAGUCUGAUGUUAAAGACUGGGGCUCAACCUCGGAAAUGCAUUGGAUACUGGCAGACUUGAGUGUGGUAGAGGCAAUCGGAAUUCCAGGUGUAGCGGUGAAAUGCGUAGAUAUCUGGAAGAACACCGGUGGCGCAAGCGGAUUGCUGGGCCAUAACUGACACUGAGGAACGAAAGCUAGGGGAGCAAAUGGGG
rnacentral:rRNA from 1 species